GGAGAACUCCCAGGAAAAGAGAAUUUAGGGCAAGAACCCCCCAGAUAACUGAAGGAAGAAAUCCUAACCUGUGAGGUGCUCCUCUCUCCCAGGCAGCAGAGAAGCCACUGCCUGAGCCUGGAGGAAUAUGACAAUUCUUCCUACUCCUGUCUGGAAAGCAAUAGCCUUCUCCACCACAGUGUCCUGAUGUUACCACCCUGACUCCAUUUAAAAAAAAAACAACAAGAACCCCUUUCAAAGCCAGUUAACACAGCAGGCAGCACUAGAACAACCCUCACUUUGCCAGCAGCUGAAUUACAGGUACCAGUGCACAAGAGGUUGAAACCACACCCUGCUGAUGAGGCAGAGGCUUCAAAAUCACUAGCUUUCUUGCUCCUAACCAUGUGGGCUGAGUUUGACUGGUUUUGGUAGCUUUCAGAUUUAAUGCAACCUGGAAUUCUUCCAGUUGCUUCCCACCCCAUUCUUGGCAAGAGGAUGCCUUCCAAACCAGUCCUUCGACUUUAUUUCCAGUGUAAAAGUCUUUGCUGCCCUUCUUUCCACAGUGACCAACAAUAUAGACUACUUUUAUUUCACAGCUAGCAUUUUUUGGCCUCAUGUUGCUGUAGGUGAUAUUUCAAUCUUUCUUUUCUAUGGCACCUUUCAAAACAAGCUCCAGUGUAUGUGGCUCUGCAUAUCCCUGAGCUUUGAGAUUGACCAAGUCCAAAAAUGCAAAAGAAACUUGGCCAAAUCUGCUGCAUUUUUCCUGCAUUUUCACAGAUGGAAUCUUCAAAAAACAAACAAAAAGCCCCAACCAACCCCCCUCCCAAUAAUACUUAGCAUUUCACAGUGUGGGAUCAUUAUUUCCAUUUUACAGAUAGGGAAGUUGAGGCACAGUUGUUAAUUCCAAGACCUUUCAGUGACCCCGUGGCAAAGCUGAGAAUAGAACUUGUCUUCUGACUCCCAGUGCCUUAUCCACUGGCAAAAGCUGGCUGAGAGUCGGUGGUUUUCCCCUCAUCAUGUGUUUCAUUCAUGAAAGGAAUUAGCUGAACAAUCAGCUAAGAAUCCUUGUAUAGUGUAUAAGAAUAGGGUGGUAGCCCUUUAAAUCGGAGGCUCACAACCAGAAGGUCUGGGGCCCCCUAGGGGGUGGUGAGCAGGUUUCAAGGGGUCUGCCAAAAUAAAACAUAGAGCAGGGCUGGUGUUGGACUCGCUGGGGACCAGGGCUGAAAGCCGAAGCCUGAGCAACUUAGCUUCAUGGUGCCUCUUGGGGUGUGGCACCUGGGCAGUUGCCCUCCUUGCUACCCCCUAACACCAGCCCAGGCUUUUAAUCUAUGGGCUGUGCAGAAAAACAGUUGUAGCACAGCUGGGCAAUGGAAUUUUUAUAGAGUGUUGUGGGGGAGGGAGGGGCUCAGAAAGCAAAAAGUUGGAAACCCCUGCUUUAAAUAGUGUAUGAGCCCUCUAGGGUGCUCAGUGUUUUAAGUUUUAGAAGCCCCCCAGAAAGCUGUCAGAGCAGCAGUGUGUAUAUAGUUAGGCCUCGCAUGCCAGUAUGUAUUUUGUAAACAGUCCUUUAGCAUCCACUUCUGCCUGGCUGGUUUCUUCCUUUUGUAAUUGUUGUGGAAAGAUGGAAAGACACAAUGCCAGGACACAAUGAGAUGGGGUCUCUAGGUGUUUUAUUUGCUGGUCAAUAGAGUAACAAUACUGUAUUUCAGCUAUUACCAGUGCUUGUAUUCCUAUGAAUAGAGUUGACAACCCUCCAGGAUUGGCAACCCUACCUAGGAAGGAAGGAAGGAGCAAAUUCUCCAUCUCUCCUCUCCUAGCCUCAUCCUUUGCCCCCAGCUCAAUCUCUGUGAGCUGCCACUAGGGGAGCACUCUCUGCACUUACCCCAUAAAACCUGCUCCCCUCUGCCCACACAGUGGAAUAUGUUCUGGUUCUGCUGCAAGGGGACUCUCCCUGGCUGCAGAGGCAGGGGCAGGAUUUGGCCCUAUCUUACCUCUGCUGUGGUAAAAAUAUACUGUAGGGAAAAAACCUACACUUACAUAGGCAUGAACGAGACUAGUAAUUCUCAAACCACAUAAUCUAUGGAUCGCUGAUGGUUCGUGGAGCCCUUCCUUGUGGUUCAAGAAAUUAAAUAUGAUGAGAACCCAAUAGUGAUAGAUGGUUUAGGAGGUGAGGUGGGGCCACAAGGGAAUCCCAGACUUUUGAAGUGGUCUGCAGAAUGAUAAAAGAUGGACUAACUGACUAUUCCCAACAUGAAUGAUUUGGGAUUCUGUAUGAAAGAUUCCAAUCUUCUGAUCAGAUGGAAGGCAAUUCAACUUGGUUUCAGUCUGGCAAGGGUCCAUGUGCGGAUGCUUUCAUGCGUCCCAAGUGGAUUUGCACAGGCCAAAUUCAAAUCUACAAUGAAGCCACUGUGAUUUGAUUUUGUCAGAAAUGCCAGAAGUA